UAAGAUUAGCCUGCGUCCGAUUAGCUAGUUGGUGGGGUAAAGGCCUACCAAGGCGACGAUCGGUAGCUGGUCUGAGAGGAUGAUCAGCCACACUGGGACUGAGACACGGCCCAGACUCCUACGGGAGGCAGCAGUGGGGAAUAUUGGACAAUGGGGGGAACCCUGAUCCAGCAAUGCCGCGUGUGUGAAGAAGGCCUGAGGGUUGUAAAGCACUUUCGGCGGGGAGGAGGAUGAGUUGGUUAAGAGCUGACUUAUUGGACGUUACCCGCAUAAGAAGCACCGGCUAACUCCGUGCCAGCAGCCGCGGUAAUACGGAGGGUGCGAGCGUUAAUCGGAAUUACUGGGCGUAAAGGGUGCGUAGGUGGUUAUGUAAGUUAUCUGUGAAAGCCCAGGGCUCAACCUUGGAUGGUCAGAUAAAACUGUGUAGCUAGAGUAUGGGAGAGGGUAGUGGAAUUUCCGGUGUAGCGGUGAAAUGCGUAGAGAUCGGAAGGAACACCAGUGGCGAAGGCGGCUACCUGGCUUAAUACUGACACUGAGGCACGAAA
rnacentral:rRNA from 1 species